rnacentral:rRNA from 1 species
GUAUAAGCAAUUAUACCGUGAAACUGCGAAUGGCUCAUUAAAUCAGUUAUCGUUUAUUUGAUAGUACCUUACUACUUGGAUACCUGUGGUAAUUCUAGAGCUAAUACAUGCUAAAAACCCCGACUUCGGGAGGGGUGUAUUUAUUAGAUAAAAAACCAAUGCCCUUCGGGGCUCCUUGGUGAUUCAUAAUAACUUCUCAGAUCGCAUGGCCUUGCGCCGGCGACGGUUCAUUCAAAUUUCUGCCCUAUCAACUUUCGAUGGUAAGGUAUUGGCUUACCAUGGUUUCUACGGGUAACGGGGAAUUAGGGUUCGAUUCCGGAGAGUUAGCCUGAGAAACGGCUAACACAUCCAAGGAAGGCAGCAGGCGCGCAAAUUACCCAAUCCUGAUACAGGGAGGUAGUGACAAUAAAUACUAAUACAGGGCUCUUUUGGGUCUUGUAAUUGGAAUGAGUACAAUUUAAACCUCUUAACGAGGAACAAUUGGAGGGCAAGUCUGGUGCCAGCAGCCGCGGUAAUUCCAGCUCCAAUAGCGUAUAUUAAAGUUGUUGCAGUUAAAAAGCUCGUAGUUGAACCUUUGGCCUGGCUGGCAGGUCCGCCUCACCGCGUGCACUUGUCCGGCCGGGCCUUUUCUUCUGGAGAACCGCAUGCCCUUCACUGGGUGUGUUGGGGACCAGGACUUUUACUUUGAAAAAAUUAGAGUGUUCAAAGCAGGCCUUUGCUCGAAUAUUACAGCAUGGAAUAAUGAAAUAGGACGUGCGGUUCUAUUUUGUUGGUUUCUAGGACCGCCGUAAUGAUUAAUAGGGACAGUCGGGGGCAUCAGUAUUCAAUUGUCAGAGGUGAAAUUCUUGGAUUUAUUGAAGACUAACUACUGCGAAAGCAUUUGCCAAGGAUGUUUUCAUUAAUCAGUGAACGAAAGUUAGGGGAUCGAAGACGAUCAGAUACCGUCGUAGUCUUAACCAUAAACUAUGCCGACUAGGGAUCGGGCGGUGUUAUUAUUUUGACUCGCUCGGCACCUUACGAGAAAUCAAAGUGUUUGGGUCUGGGGGAGUAG